UGAAUAACAUGAAAUUUUUUUGGGAGUUAUUUUGGCAAGGAAUUGAAGAAACUAAGUACUCUAUUCACCGAGAAGAAGAUAUACGUGUGAACUAAAGGGAUUAGGUUUAUUUAUUAUUUUUUUGAAUUCGCGUACGUGCGUGCGUCUGAUGAAGGAAAAUGUUUUACAUUUGUCUUUUAAUAUGUUGCCUCAUGACAUACUUCAAUUUCCACUAAUCCACCACCUUCAAUACCUGUUGCUACUGGUAAUAAGGCUCAUGGGUCACAAUGCUCCAAUUCUAGUGAUAGGAUUGCGUCUGAUGGGAGAACAAUGAUAUGGUCAGAUGUUCGAGGGUAGUUACUGUGUUGGGUGGCCUCAAGGGCCCUCACCUUAGUCAUUAAAUCACAAUAUAUUGACUCGUAUCCUAGUUGGAGAGCAAUCCCAUAAUUAACUUUGGAACAUUGAUUUGACAAAUUUGGUGAGAGAUUUGUUUGGUUGCAUGAGCACAAUUUUCUGAUUAAGAAUAUCUUCAAUACAAAAGGAUUAAUGCGUCUUUCUGAGACAUUGAUGCAAGUGAGAAAGAAGCGCAAGUGUCCAACUUGGAUGGACGAAAGUGUUUGGAAUGAUAUUGAGAAGAUAAGGAUGGACUUGUCGUAAAAUGAGAUAUCAAAUCGAGCUAAGAAAAAUGGUGUUUCUUCUAAAUGAGGAGCUGUCCCUACUGGUGGAUCUAUAUCCAUCACUAAACAUAUCAUUCAGAUGAUACACUUUUUAUGUCAAAAUCUUCAAUGUAUAACCAUUUAAUGUUUGGCUCAAGGACAUGCCUACUAUUUGUUAUUUUUAUUAUUUUGUUGUGUUGCUGAUGCUUGAGAAUGCAUAUAGCUAUUUUACUAAAAUAUUUUGCUGCUGAAAUGUGGCUCUCAUCCUA